GGGACCUGAGGCCUUGGGCAGGUUGCGGGUAGGAGAAACCAGAAACCUGCAGCUGUAAGGCGCUGAGCGAGGCACAGGGCGAAGUGCCUGCCGUGGGCCCGGGGCUGAGCCGCUGUCUGCCGGCACCGCGGCCGGAGGCCCUGCGGAACGGCCUGUGGUAAAGCUGGUGUUGCCGGAGAGCGCGUCUCGUUCCUCAUUCUAGUUAACCUGGUCGCAGACUUCAUUUCCUUAUUCAGAAGGACUGGUACUGAGUUAACAUCUGAGCACAUCUAGUUGUUGCUUUAAGAAAACUCAAAAAGCUGCCAGGAUGUUUCUCCGAUUACUGUCAGAUGUCCGGUGGCGGGCAGCUAACCCAAAAUGGAGAAGAAUGACGUGCUCCCAGCGAAGUACCUCAAGUACAGCAGAACCUCACCCAAUUUCCUUGCCAGCACAGGCGCAGGUUGUCAUCUGUGGUGGUGGAAUCAUGGGCACCUCCGUGGCAUAUCACCUUUCCAAGAUGGGUUGGAAGGAUAUAGUCUUACUUGAGCAGGGCAGGUUGGCUGCUGGUACCACUCGCUUCUGUGCUGGCAUCGUGAGCACAGCCAGGCACGUGUCCAUAGAGCUGAAGAUGGCAGACUACUCAAACAAGCUCUACCAACAGCUGGAACAAGAGACAGGAGUAAAAACAGGGUACAUGAAGACAGGCUCUAUUUCACUGGCUCAGACUCAGGAUCGACUAAUCUCUCUGAAACGCAUUGCUUCAUCGCUCAAUGUAAUGGGGAUACCUUGUGAAAUUAUCACCCCAAAGCAAGUGGCACAACUCCACCCACUGAUCAACAUCCAUGACCUUGUGGGGGCCAUGUAUGUGCCAGAAGAUGCGCUCGUGUCAUCUGCCAAUGUGAGUCUGGCUCUGGCAACCGCUGCCUCAUGGAAUGGUGUCCAGAUUCAUGAACGGACGAGUGUCAGUCAUGUCUCAGUCCAGAAGGGUCGUGUGACUGGAGUUGAGACCGACAGAGGACAGAUUCAAUGCCAGUACUUUGUCAACUGUGCUGGCCAGUGGGCUUAUGAGUUGGGCCACUCUGGGGAGGAACCAGUCAAUAUCCCACUGCAUGCCUGUGAACACUUUUACCUCCUGACACAUCCUUUGAAGGAACCUCUGCCAAGCAGCUUACCAACUAUUGUAGACCCAGAUGGCAGGAUCUACAUACGCAACUGGCAAGGUGGCAUCCUCUCAGGAGGCUUUGAGAAAAACCCCAAACCUCUCUUCACAGAGGGACGGAACCAGCUGGAGAUUCAGAACCUUCAAGAAGACUGGGAUCAUUUUGAGCCACUUCUGAGUGCCCUUCUGCGCAGGAUGCCAGAUCUGGAGGCUCUGCAAAUCAUGCAGUUGGUGAAUUGCCCAGAGUCCUUCACACCAGAUAUGCGGUGCAUCAUGGGAGAGUCGCCCACCGUGCGGGGCUACUUUGUUCUGGCUGGCAUGAACUCAGCUGGUAUCUCAUAUGGUGGGGGAGCAGGCAAGUACCUGGCGGAGUGGAUGGUAAAUGGGUAUCCAUCAGAAAAUGUCUGGCCUCUGGAUUUGAAACGUUUUGGUACCCUUCAGAGCAGUCGCACUUUCCUCCGUCACCGUGUGAUGGAAGUAAUGCCCCUCAUGUGUGAUCUGAAAGUUCCCCGCUGGGACUUCCAGACUGGCAGGCAGCUGCGUACUUCACCGUUGUACGACCGUCUGGAUGCACAGGGAGCUAGGUGGAUGGAGAAGCAUGGAUUUGAGAGAGUCAAGUAUUUUGUCCCACCUGGGAAAGAUCUGCUGGAUUUGGAUCAGAGCAAAACCUUUUACAAACCAGACUGGUUUGAUAUUGUGGGUUCCGAAGUCAAAUGCUGUAAGGAAGCAGUUUGUGUCAUUGACAUGUCAUCUUUUACCAAGUUUGAAAUAAGCUCCACAGGAGACCAGGCCCUGGAGAGUCUGCAGUAUCUCUUCUCAAAUGACCUGGAUGUGCCAGUCGGGCAUGUUGUGCAUACGGGCAUGCUUAAUGAGAAAGGAGGUUAUGAGAAUGACUGUAGCAUAGCACGGCUGAGCAAACGCAGCUUCUUCAUGAUUUCCCCUACUGACCAGCAAGUCCAUUGCUGGGCCUGGCUGAAGAACCGCUUACCUGAUGACAGCAACGUGACCAUGGAAGAUGUGACCUGGAAGUACACUGCUCUCAAUCUCAUUGGCCCCCGUGCUGUGGAUGUCUUGUCAGAGUUGUCAUAUGCCCCGAUAACUCCAGAGCACUUUCCCUCUCUCUUUUGCAAGGAGAUGAGCGUGGGCUAUGCUAAUGGAAUUCGUGUGAUGAGUAUCACUCACACUGGAGAACCUGGAUUCAUGCUUUAUAUCCCCAUAGAGUACGCCCUUCAUGUGUACAACGAGGUGAUGAACAUGGGACAGAAGUAUGGGAUUCGGAAUGCCGGUUAUUACGCGCUUCGCAGUCUGCGCAUUGAGAAGUUCUUUGCAUUCUGGGGCCAGGAUCUGGAUGCUUUUACCACUCCUAUGGAGUGUGGACGCGAGUUCCAGGUCAAACUGGAAAAGGGAAUGCAGUUUGUGGGCCAGGAAGCGCUGUUGGAACAGAAGCAGAAUGGUGUGUACAAGCGCUUCACCAUGUUCAUUCUCGAGGACCAUGACACAGAUGCAGAUCUCUGGCCAUGGUGGGGGGAGCCCAUUUUCCGCAACGGCCGCUACGUGGGCAAGACCACCAGCAGCGCCUACAGCUACACUCUGGAGCGCCAUGUCUGCCUCGGCUUCGUGCAGCACUUUGAUGAGAAGACGGGAGAAGAGCUGGUUGUGACAACUGACUUCAUCAACCAGGGCGAGUAUGAGAUCGACAUCGCUGGGCAGCGCUUCCAGGCCAAAGCCAAGCUCUACCCCUUGAGUUCCCUCUUCACGCACCGUCGCCGCAAGGAUGAGGUGGAACUGAGUGGCUACCAGAGGGAGUAGUGCUGACUAGAUCUGACCCACUCCUCUUCCCAAGCUGGAGUCUUCUCCUACCAUCUUCCAGUUCUUUCUACUCACCCCAUAGAUUUCUUUUUUUUUUUUUUUUAUUUUUUUUUUUUUUUUUUUUUUUUUUUGUCUUGCAACUUUUAAACUUUUUUCCAGUGUGUUACAUUUUGUAUAUUUUAAAACUGUCAUUUUCAAGCUUUCCAGAUCCUGUUUGUCUGCCUCCUUUGCUUGCCAGGCUCCCCCAUGCCCAGUGGAUGAGGCACAGUGCUGAGCAUGCGUCCAGGAGUCCACGGGAAGCCUGUACAGGAGUGAACCCCAGCAGAGGCCCUAGCCUAGGGAAGGGUUGGGGUAAACCCCUGAGGACUGCACCCUCCCUCUCUCCUCUCCAGCAUAAAGCACAGGACAACAGGCAUUUUCUGCCUGUCGUUCAGUUAACGCUGUGACUUCACCCUGCUCUCCGCCUACCACGUUGUCGAGGGGUCGGUGCGUCGAUGCACACAGCAAUAGGACGAUCAGCUACCUCACUGGCAUGAGACGUAGUGUUGUGUGAGCAGCAGCCAAGAGACAGGUUUUGGUAUAGUCCAGCCUGUCUCUGCCCCCCUUCGUCCACCUUUUUUUUUUUUCCCUAACAGGGAGUCAAGUAGAUUUAAUCAUCCGAUCAUUGAGGUGACAGUAGUGCUGGUAAGUUUUCUGUUGUUAUUGGGAUUGGAUUUUUUGCGUGGGGUCACUGAAACUAAAUGGCCUUCUAUAAAUAUAACAAGAUCAACAUGUGUGUUUCACUUCUAUAAAGGUAUGAGAUUUUUGGGUUUUUAUUAGCAAAACCACUGAUUUCUAACAAGGACAGAUGUUAGUGUUUCAUGUUCUUAGCAGUGUUGAAAUGCUGCUUCUGUUUAAGCUGUACAAUCUCUUUAGGGAUUUUCUUUCACUUUCCUUUGUUUCUGUGACUUGGUCAAGCUCAUGUGGCAAGGUUCAUGUAAAACUUUUGUUGGUUUGGGGAACUUGAGCAGCAGGAGGGGACAACACCUUCUGUUUUUAGCUGCCUGUGGUUAUUUUGAAAUUAGAGGAAAAGAUGCAGUAUUUUUCUCACCAGUGGUGCUGGCAGUAGUGCUGAAAAAAUACUGGGUUUUCUUCUGGUGGUGAGAAGGCAUCUCAGCAGCUCCUGCUGAACUCAAGAAGUUGUCUUUUGUUUUUCUCCUCAAAUCUGUUGCACUUCUUGCUUCUCUCUCAGUAGUACCUCAGCUGAAGGGAUUGAAUAGAGGGAGUGAAGGGAGUGUGGCAGUGGAAUUAUACAUCACUUUAUUUCAGCAGAGCACUUUACAUCAUGCUCCUCAUACACAAGCUUCAGACAGUGCAGCUGGGAUUCACCCCUUCUUCAUGUGUCAGAACGUGCUGAUUCUAAUACUGAUGGUAAAUGGUAAAGAAGUGGGGGGAUGCUGAAUUGUACUGCACAUGUUUACAUCUUCUUUUUCUUCCCAUUGUGAGCACAAUCAGAAGCAAAGAUUGUCUUCAUUUACUUGAAAAAUACCUGUUAAAUGUUUUCCCUGACUCUGACACCCACAGACUCAUCAUUGUCUUUCUGCUCCAGCAUCUUUCUGUCUGGAGUUCAAACACACCCUUGCACUGAUGUCUGCCCUGUCAGCCACGAUGAACACUUUCCCUAUGAUCUAGAACUUUUUUUGGGCACUUUCUUUUCCAGUUAAAUGGUGAGCGUCAGUAGUAUAAAUAUGAACUCAAAACCUUGCCUGGUUCUUGUUUUUAGUUUGCUUUCUGCUGCGUUAGUUGCUUCAGGUCAUGCCUUACAUUGAGUCCAUGGUCUGCAAGUUCAUGGUUCAGUUGUUCUCAGCAUGCAAAAGGAGUUGGAUGUCCCUAAGGCAGGAAAGGUGAAAGUCUAAAACCUUCACACCUUAAAACAGGUUGGCAGAGCAAGCUCCCCCAUCCAGAGUGAUACAGAAGCUGUUGAAACCUUGGAGUGAGAGUCAGGAAAGGGUGUAAGAGGAUUAAGGAUUUGAGCGUGUGAUGUAGUAGGUUGAACAUAUAUGCUGCUUCUUUGAGUAUGCUCUCCUUUGUGAAUGGUGAAUUUGUAGUGUGUGAUCUCUUCAAGGAUUUCAAGCCUACAUUCAAAUUGACAUGCAAAAAUUCUCCAGUCUCUGAAAUGUAGUGACCAUGGCUUUUUGGGAUCUCACAGCUGAGAUUAGCGUGCAUGACUCUUGAAGGCGGAGAUUGUAAUUUAUUCCAAGUUCCCCUAUUACUGCUCUCUGAAUUAAAAUUUUGUCUGGUGUGUCAGGAUUAAUUGCCUCAAUGAAAGGUUCAUAAAGCAUCUAAUAGCAGUUUAAAAUCCAUUCGCUUCUUGCAUAGAGAGGCACUGCAGUCCCACUGUUCCCGUGCUGGAUGGGGGUACUGAGGAGCACCUCUGCUUUACCAGCCUGCCUCCUUGGAACAGUGCAUCAGGUCACUUAGAAAUACUUGUCCAUCCUCUCGUCUCUCCAUUGGUUUUAUAGGACAUUGCUGUCCCUUCCUUAUCUAGGGAAGCAGGUGUUCAACCAAACAGAGAGUUUUAUACGUGAUACUUAGAAUGUUUCUUAGAGCAGCCCUUCUUAUUAGAGUUUAUUGACCAUUUGUUGUUGCUGGUGAGACAUGAUACUUGUCUGGGAGAACACAAAGUAUCAUUUAAGUUGCAGCUAGAUUAUAUUCCUCCUUGUGAUUGUUUUUUCUUUUCCCUAAUUUAUAGGUGCCUGUUAGUUCCUCAGACUGAUAUGGGUGUCUUUUCCCACAGCAGUUCUGACAACGAAAUUGUGUUUUAUGAGCUUUUUUUGUCAUUAUGUCUGCUUAGGUUUAUUUCAUGUCUAGAUUUAUUGACUUUUCAAUAGCAAAAAUAGACAAUGAAAAUAAUUUUCCAUCAUGCCUAUAGAUACAGCAACACUUUCUGUAAUGUGUUUGCUGUUUGAGACUUAGAAAUAGGUGGUUUCAUAAUUGUCAGUCUUGCAGCUCAUUAACGCCUACUCUGGCUUUCCCUGCUAUGAAUUCUGAUUCUUAUUUUGUAUCCCAACCUAUAGUCUUCUGCUGCUGUUCAAGCUUUAAUUUUUGGCAGCUAUUUUUAACCUUAUAAUGUUAAAGAAUAGUUUGCCUUCACCAGCUUGAUUACCCAUCAAGGGGACAAUUAGAUAGUGUGUUUUAAGAUAGUGCUCGAUACUGAGAUGGAGGAAGGUCCUUCUAGUGUCAUGUUUUCAUCCAGAGGUAUUAAAGGGUGAUGUAAGACUAAUCCCUUUAUCUGAUGACUAAAAGUAGAGUGUCUAAAAAAAGAAGAACAAAAUCUGUUAAAGAAUUUAAGCCUUCAAAUUAGAUAAUUAGAAAUCGGAUCUUGAAAGCUGCUAUGACACAGUCUUAGCAUCUAAGAUGCUAAAUAAUGUGGACUGUAAAAUUAUACAUGAUUCUCAUCCUUAAAACUGCCUUAAAAUGCUUUCUUCUGAGAAAGACAGUUUGUUGCCAUUCUGUAUGGUAAGACUAUGAACCUUGGGUGGGAAAUACUGCAAUAGCAUCCCCCUCCUCUGCAGGGGAAGGGAUAAUGGCCUUAGCCAUUAGCAGGUCUGCCCCAGGCACCUCCUGCAGGGGUGUCAGCAGUUCUCUGAGUCUUGUUGUCCAGAAUGGGAACAGCCCUGUAGAUUUUUAUUCAUGUAGGCAAUUUUGCAAGAGAAACACUUGAAGGGAAGCUAACUGGAGUUUAGUAUGAGGAAAUAAUUUAUCUUUUUGGCUGAAAUACGAUACGUUGAGCAUAACCUAUUUUAGGAUAAAACCCAUCAGUGACAAGUGUUGAGGAAAGAGUGACCCGUGGGGAGAUAGGCCACAGUGGGUGGGUGGCAUGUGCUUGGCACAUGUAGGCUUGUUUUUUCUUACCCCAGAAAGCAACAAACAUCUGAGUGGGUUUGCUGAUGGGGUGGCAGUGAAUCCAUCUACGUGUACAACAUUCCUGUAUGCUGGGAAGGGCUUGCUUGCCCAAGUGUCAUCUGUAGAGUAGUGGGGGGAACUUCUGGAAGAGGUAGCACUUACUGGGUAGCCUCUUCCAUUGAAAGAUUUCUCCAGAGGUAUUUGUGUUGUCUUACCCUUGUUGCAUCCUCUUCUAAAUUCUGUUAGUCCUUCAGUGAAUGCUGAAAGGCUUGAGUAAAGAUGAUAUUAGAGGGACUUUAUUGUUCAUAUUUAACAAUCUAAGGAUAAAAUCAGACUACCUAAGAAUGAUGAUUUCUGUUUCAGGAGGGUGCAUUAACAGUGAUUUUUUCCAUCUGUUUUUGCCAGCCUUAGUUUCUUCUUGUUUUCUCUGUGCUGACUCCAGUGUCCAGAUUUGAUGUGCCUUGUUGGACAGUUUCUUCUUACUAUUUUGUGGCAGGGAGGGGAGGCUGUGUGAAACUUCCUCUACAUCUCCAUGUCUCGGUGUGAGCUUGGAUUCCUCCUUUCUACUGUUCCAUUUGAGCUGCCACUGAUCAUGUUGCUGUUCCUGCAACGCCUCCAAACUCCAGCCUGUGCUGCUGUAGGACUUCUUGUGCACAAGGGUUCUUCUCUUCAUUCUACCGGGUGCUUCAUAGUCAGAGCCAGGUUGGCUCUAGAUCUGUGUCUCUUCAUUGGUUUAAGCUCUUCAGCUUUCAGAUGGUGCAGAUACCAACAUCUGAACUUCCAGAUGGGAUUUUGUCCACUGUAUAUUCUGUCGUUUAACCCUCUCUUUCCUCCCUCAAUGUAGGAAUUAGUUCCUUUUGCCUGUCAGAGAGUGAGGUGUGGUAAAAUAAAAACAGGCAAGGGGAUGGUGGAGUGGCCAAGCUGAGGUGGAAGAAGCGUGUUUGAGGUUUGAUCCUUGGCCUAUUACUCAACCACUUAAGCCCAGCCUUGGGGAGAUGAUAAGGCCUGAUUCCCAGCUCAGCCUUAGUGCUGGACAAGCACUGAGUGAUAGCAAUGGCUCUGGGCAGAAUUAGGACAGCGUUAUGGAGGAAGUGAGAGCAAUGGUGGCACUCCUUUUCCAAUAUACAUUUCCCUCUCUCAUUUCUUGUUGCGAUGAAGGGAACUGUGCUGCACGGGGGAGGGGGGGACUGUGCUUACUCAUUUGCUUGAAACCCUCAGCAUGGUCUUGUAAGUGCUGUCUAACUGUAAAGGUGCAGCCCUGACCACUAACCUUGCCCUUGCAGCACGCUUCAACCAAAAUGGUCACAUUUUGGGAAUAAAUGUAUAAAACCAAGGUAGUUUCCAUGUUUGACAGAGGAGGGACAUUACUUGCAAGGACAAAGUCGUUCUUAUUUAAAACAGAACACCUAGCUGAUGCUAAUGUCCAGCAAAACAUUCACAACCUUCCAAUCUCUCUUCCCAAAUGAUUUUAUUAUAAUACUUGGUCAGGUUAAUUUCUGCCCAUUUCAGGAUGCUUUUCUGUUAUGAACUUUUUCUAAAGUUACUAUUUGGAUUUUUGUUUAAGAAAAAGCAGUCAGGGAACAGGACUUAGGGAAGGAGGGGUUGUCAUCACAUGACUUCAAGCUGUCUCUUUGAAAAAUUUCUUUGCACUUUAAACUUUCCUUAAGCAUUAUGAUUGUAGUGUGCUUGUAGCACUCAGCAAGAGCAGUUUUUGCAUUUGAGGGAGGAAAACAGAAACUUUAAAUAUUUGUGAAUGCCUUAAAGCUUUAGGUGAGGUAUUUGGGCACUGGUUGUGCCUGCCAUUUCAUUUUCUUCCUGGAAAGCUGUGUGCUGAGUGUACAAAGCAGACACAAACGUCGGCAGAUAUUUUUCCACUGAGGAUGGUGGGAGCUGCUGUUGCAGUAUGCUGCUGGUCUGAGGCUGGAAUUUGUAUUGAACUAAACUAUGCUGAGAGGCCCCGAGUCUGUGCUGACACCUUUCUCCCCCCCCACCCCAAAAUGGAUUUAUUCACUAUAUUGCUCAUGCUAUAAUGGUUUUCUUCUUUCUUUAAAGAAAGAAGCCUGGGCUUGUGUAGAGUACUCCAUGAGUGUCCCGUUGCAUUAAAGGAGACAAAAUUCUCUGCUUGAGCACUUCCCUGCUGUACCAGCUGACAUUUGCAGGCAGGAGUCAGGAGGAGUGGGAACGGAGGGGAUCUGCUGCUGCCAGUAAUGGCUGCUGAGAUGGCUGUGAGACUUCUUGUCUCCCAUCUGUCUCAAAGCUCUGCUGGAUUCCUGAUAUCAGGCUGGCUUUUGAGUUACAGCACAAAACAAAGCUCUGCUUUGCAGGUACAACAUGCUAUGCUGAUUUACUUUAUUCAGAGAUAGUGCUUGUUCAGAAUAAGGUAUCUCCAUGAAGAGGAGUGGUAAAUUAUAGUGAAAGCAGCACCAGGGAAAGCUGUUCACAGUAGUAUUUAUUGAUUUGUCAAUGCUGGUAACAGCUGAUCUACCUGCAUGGAUGCUUGACACCUGCUACAAGCAGAGCAGAUAGUUGGGAGCCGUCAGCCGUCCCAGCUGGGGCGUGAUCCACUCUGUACAGUGCCUUUCACUGUGCACCGCUGAGAUUGCUUCCACAGUACAGACACCUUUCUCUGCUUUUCCUGUAGUGGAACAGGUUUCACUGACACCCUUCUUCCAGCAUAACCAGAGGCAGAGUAAUGCCCCUGAAGUCCUUGAUGGGUUCUCCUGCAUCUCACGGUCAGCCUUGUGGCAGGACACGUCCCUGCUCAUACAUGCUCUGCCAGGGAAGCAACCCAAGCCAUGCUUGGGGGAAAGGAGCACACAUGCACUGGUAGUGCAGCUGUUCCUACACCGCCUGCCCGGCAGCUGGGUGAUGAUUAAUGUUUCUCACAUCUUUGGGAAGAGUUGCGGAGGACCCUUUUUGGCCCAGAUCAAUUCCUUGCUGCUGCUCCUGAGACAAUGUGCGUUCUUUUGGUCACUCUCUGCUCUGUUCCUAGCUGUGUGCACGUGACGGCUCCCUGUCACCGCCGGUUUUACAAAUGACCUAAGCUGUGUGGGAGGAGGGCUCCCUGCUUCUUGGGCAGGUACCCAGUGCAGGUCUACCCAGCAGAGACUUCUGUCUUGUGAACUGCACCAGUACAUCCCAUCUCCACCAUUGCUUCUGGUUAUCAGGUGCACCAGUUUGCUUCUCCAAAGCCCUUUGUGUUUUUUAUCAAUCUCUUGAGACCAGAUUUUAAAGGGCUGGGAGGACUUAUGAAGUGUGCUACUGCUGAAACUUUUAAGAACAACUGAAGUUUGAACCUGUGAAAACAUUUUUCUAGUGCCUUAUGCUUGUGAACGUUUUGCAAUGGAUGUAGCUGAUGUGGGACAGAGUACAGAGCAACUUCAGUGGUGUGGUUCCCCGUCCACUAUAGCCAUCUCCCUCUCCUCUCGUGGGGUCAUGGCAAGCAGAUGCCAACAGAUCAUUUCUAGCAGCGUGGUGGUGAUGCUUUUCUAAUCCCUUUGAGCUCUGGGGUUGUAGAAAUGUUAAACUAAAGCCUUGCACUGGGUGGUCUGCAUUUGAGAGGAGCGGUGGUCUCACCUCUGCUGGUUUUGGAUUCAGAGGGUUUUAGGAGGGACAAAGCUGCUCUGAUUGCUAGACCCCAUGGUGGCGGACGUGGUCAGUUGUUCCCAAGCGCACAAGCCGGGAGAGAAACCUCAAAAAAAAAAGAAAACACAAAACCAAACUGAAGCAGAGAAACAGGUAAGAGGCUGCUACAGAAAGCCAGGUACAAAAAGGUUAAAAAAACUUCCAAGGCCCAAAAAACCUACAGUGAUUGUUCCUCAAAUAACUAUUGCAACCAGGUGGUGCGGACAGGGCUCCCCCCGGCCUGGCUCCAGCCCCGCUGCCCCUGCCCCACUCUCGGCACCAUGGGCCUUGUGCCACCGCUGUGCCGGGCACCCAUCGCCAUCACCGGCUGUGCAGGCAGGUGGGGGUCCCUCUCUGGGGGACCUUUUCCAUGAUUGCCUUUUUCUUGAACUUUCCAGUAUCUCCUAAAAAUAAAAAAAA